rnacentral:rRNA from 1 species
GAAAGAUUCAUCGGAAGAGGAUGGGCAUGCGGCGCAUUAGCUAAACGGCGGGGUAACGGCCCACCGUGGCGACGAUGCGUAGGGGUUCUGAGAGGAAGGUCCCCCACACUGGUACUGAGACACGGACCAGACUCCUACGGGAGGCAGCAGUGAGGAAUAUUGGUCAAUGGGAGAGAUCCUGAACCAGCCAAGCCGCGUGAGGGAAGACGGCCCUAUGGGUUGUAAACCUCUUUUGUCGGAGAACAAAACCCGGGACGUGUCCCGGACUGCGUGUAUCCGAAGAAAAAGCAUCGGCUAACUCCGUGCCAGCAGCCGCGGUAAUACGGAGGAUGCGAGCGUUAUCCGGAUUUAUUGGGUUUAAAGGGUGCGUAGGCGGUCCGUUAAGUCAGCGGUAAAAUUGCGGGGCUCAACCCCGUCGAGCCGUUGAAACUGGCAGACUUGAGUUGGCGAGAAGUACGCGGAAUGCGCGGUGUAGCGGUGAAAUGCAUAGAUAUCGCGCAGAACUCCGAUUGCGAAGGCAGCGUACCGGCGCCAGACUGACGCUGAGGCACGAAAGCGUGGGGAUCGAACAGGAUUAGAUACCCUGGUAGUCCACGCAGUAAACGAUGAAUGCUGGUUGUCCGGGUCGAAUGAGACCUGG